rnacentral:tRNA from 1 species
GGGGUUGUGGCUCAGCGGUAGAGCGCUCACCUAGCACGUGUGAGGUCCUGGGUUCGAUCCUCAGCAACACGU